GCGGGAAUGGCGAAAUUGGUAGACGCCCGGGGUUUAGGUCUCCGUGCCCGUUGAGGGCGUGUCGGUUCAAGUCCGACUUCCCGCACCA
rnacentral:tRNA from 1 species